UACACGUGAAAACGAAGGCGAUGAAAUGAUUAUUCCUCUGAUCAGAUUUGCCAAUAAAAGAGUGUAGGGAGGUAAAUAACAUUCUUAAUUUUUCAAUGGGUCUAUAAGAGUCUAUAGAUGAUUUGGCGUAGAGAUGAAUACAAAUUUCUGAAUAUUGAUGCAGAUAUCCAGAACAUUUUCACUGCCUUCGACUGUUCUCAGAUCAUUAUUAACCAUCCAUUACAGAGGUUUGAGGAAUUUAAAACUGCAUUCAAGACCUAAAAUAAGGAGUUAUCUACUCCUAACUAUAGAUCUAAUGAUUUUAAUGUUUUUGCUAAUCUCAUUGUCAUCUUUCCCCUAGGUUUUACUAAUAGUAGUGCAAACCAUUAAAGCUACAAUGUCCACUUUGAUCUACAGCAUCAUCUACAAGUAGAGAAAGGGGUAUUGUUGAGGCAACUAAGCACCCAAGCAAGAAGCAUUGGACUAAGUAAUGAAGGAUAAGAACAUUUAGGAU